UGGAGUUAUUCAUGGUUUGAACACGUUAUU
rnacentral:piRNA from 1 species